rnacentral:tRNA from 1 species
GGGCCGGUAGCUCAGUGGUUAGAGCAGGCGACUCAUAAUCGCUCGGUCGCGGGUUCGAUACCCGCCCGGCCCA